UCUCCCUCAUCCUCUUCUGCACUAUAUUCUCCUCCUCUCUCUCUCCUUCUCUUCACGCACGCAGCAGCAACACCAACACAGAAGGCUCGCCUCCACUUCACUCACGCAGACAGCAAGGUCUCAUCCUCUCUAGUCUCUCUUCUACUCAAGGCAGUCCCUCUAUGUCUCUUAAGGCACUCUCUUUUGGCUACUUCUCUAGUAAACUCGGAGAAGAAGAUGAGUCGCUCAGUUUUCUCACACUUCCUUAAUCUCUCUACCUCAUCUCCUUGCCUCGCUACUUCACUGUGCAAUGGUAGGUUUCAAAGCAAGUACUGGAAAGAACCUGCCAUCAUUGCUCAUCGCCAAAGGAAUUUCAAGGGUUUUCGAUGCGUUUGUAGUGUUUUGCCUACUGAACCUGCAGUUGAAGAAACUCCAUCCAGUUCUCUGAGGAAAAGAAUUGUGUCUGGAGUCCAGCCUACUGGAUCCAUCCACCUGGGGAAUUAUCUUGGUGCAAUUAAGAACUGGAUUUCACUUCAGAAUACAUAUGAUACUCUCUUUUUCAUUGUGGAUCUCCAUGCGAUUACAUUGUCGUAUGAUGCACAAAAAUUAUCUAAGGCCACCAGGGAUACAGCAGCUAUAUAUUUGGCUUGCGGAGUUGACACAUCAAAGGCUUCAGUUUUUGUACAAUCUCAUGUUCGAGCUCAUGUCGAAAUGAUGUGGUUAUUAAGUUCUGCAACACCUGUUGGGUGGCUGAACAGGAUGAUUCAGUUUAAAGAGAAAUCACUCAAGGCGGGAGAUGAAAAUGUAGGGGUUGGUCUUUUAACUUAUCCUGUCCUGAUGGCUUCUGAUAUUCUAUUAUACCAGUCUGACUUUGUCCCAGUUGGGGAGGAUCAGAAGCAGCACCUAGAGUUAACACGUGAGCUGGCUGAACGUGUGAACCAUUUAUAUGGAGGAAGGAAGUGGAAGAAAUUAGGAGGGCGAGGGGGUUCCCUUUUUAAGGUUCCUGAGCCUCUUAUACCACCAGCUGGAGCUAGAAUCAUGUCUUUGACGGAUGGUCUUUCCAAGAUGUCCAAGUCUGCCCCUUCAGAUCAAUCUCGGAUCAAUCUUCUUGAUCCAAAAGACGUUAUAGUGAACAAGAUAAAGCGCUGCAAAACGGACUCUUUUUCAGGCCUAGAAUUUGAUAAUCCUGAAAGACCUGAAUGCAACAAUCUUCUUUCAAUAUAUCAGCUUGUUUCGGGAAGGACGAAAGAGGAAGUGGCCCAUGAAUGUCAAGAUAUGAGCUGGGGAAAGUUUAAACCCCUUCUAACUGAUGCCUUGGUUGAUCAUCUUGAUCCCAUCCAGGUUCGCUACAUGGAAAUAAUUUCUGAUUCAGCUUAUUUGGAUCAAAUUUUGGCUGAAGGUGCGACAAAAGCUUCAGAUAUAGCAGAUCCUACUCUUAGUAAUGUCUACCAGGCAAUGGGAUUCUUGCGAAGAUGACCAGAACCAAUGCCUCUGGAAGAAUUCAUUUGUAAAGACUAGUAAGACAGCAACCUUAAAUUUUUUUGGGUAUCCAUCGUUACUCACUAAUUGUUGGUGCAUAAAUUAAGAAUAUUCUAUAUUCCUGAGGAGAGUGAUGGUUUGUUGGAAGGCCCACAAACUCAAUGAUGCAGUUACCUCCGUUCAGAGAGGUGCGCGCCAAUCACCAGACUCCGGAGAAAUUGAGAAUCAUAUUCAUGGACCAAUGUUUAAAAUUACGCAAGAAAAAGGUGUUUUUUUAGAGCAUCUAAAGAUGAAUAAAAUGUCAAAAUUUAAACAUGUUAGAGUGCAAAAGGUGAAACAUGUUAGAGUGCUCAAUAUCUCAAAUGAUAGCCGCCUAUGGAAACUGGACCCGUCGGGAAUUUUUUCUUGUAAGUCAGCCUUCUCUUAGUUUACAUCUAACUUGAAUGGUAGUGGAGUCUACUGGACAAGGCCUUUAUGGAAAAGUUGUGUUCCUUCAAAAGUCAAAGUUUUUGGGUGGCUCGUGUCUUUAGAUAAAGUGAACGUUCAUGAUAAGAUGCAAAAGAGGAUGCCUUAUCUAUCCAUCUUACCUGGUUGGUGUGUUUGCUGCAAAGCUAGUGGGGAAGACGUUGAGCAUCUGUUCUUAGGCUGCAGUUUCAUCCGUUAAUUAUGGAUCAGGUUGAUAAAAGAAUUUAAUCUGUCGUGGGUUAUGCCAAGAUGUGUACCACAAUUGAUAGUUAGCAAAUUAAAUGGUAGCAAAGGUAAAACAAAGAUUUGGAGAACGACAAUACUAGCUAUAAUAUGGGUUGUGUGGUUGGAAAGGGAUGCUAGAAUUUUUGAAGGGGUCGGGAGUUCAGUAGAGGACACGUGGGAGAAAGUUAAAAUUUAGAGAGCUACUUGGGUUUUUAAAACCAAGUUUUUUCGAGGAUUUUGUCUUUCGUAAAUUUAUGUAGAGAUUGGAAUUCAUUGUUGUAAAGGAAAUCCUUAAAAAACUCUUAUUGUUUUCUCGGCAACUAUGGUGUGCUAACUAUCCUAAGUGUCUCUUUGUAAUAUGGUUUUCUUCCGUAAUAAGUGAGGCUUCUUAAUA